rnacentral:rRNA from 1 species
CCUACGGGUGACAGCAGUGAGGAAUAUUGGUCAAUGGGCGGAAGCCUGAACCAGCCAAGUAGCGUGCAGGAUGACGGCCCUACGGGUUGUAAACUGCUUUUAUACGGGAAUAACGCGCCUUACGUGUAGGGCUUUGCAUGUAACUUAUGAAUAAGGAUCGGCUAACUACGUGCCAGCAGCCGCGGUCAUACGUAGGAUCCGAGCAUUAUCCGGAGUGACUGGGUGUAAAGAGUUGCGUAGGUGGCAUAAUAAGUAGCUAGUGAAAUCUGGUGGCUCAACCAUUCAGACUAUUAGCUAAACUGUUAAGCUCGAGACCGUUAGGGGCAUCUGGAAUUUCUAGUGUAGGAGUGAAAUCCGUAGAUAUUAGAAGGAACACCAAUAGCGUAGGCAGGAUGCUGGGACGGUUCUGACACUAAGGCACGAAAGCGUAGGGAGCAAACGGGAUUAGAUACCCCUGUAGUC